AACGAACGCUGGCGGCAUGCCUAACACAUGCAAGUCGAACGAGACCUUCGGGUCUAGUGGCGCACGGGUGCGUAACGCGUGGGAACCUGCACUUAGGUUCGGAAUAACUCCCCGAAAGGGGUGCUAAUACCGGAUAAUGUCUUCGGACCCAAGAUUUAUCGCCUUGUGAUGGGCCCGCGUUGUAUUAGCUAGUUGGUAGGGUAAAAGCCGACCAAGGCGACGAUCCAUAGCUGGUCUGAGAGGAUGAUCAGACACACUGGGACUGAGACACGGCCCAGACUCCUACGGGAGGAAGCAGUGGGGAAUAUGGGACAAUGGGCGAAAGCCUGAUCCAGCAAUGCCGCGUGAGUGAUGAAGGCCUUAGGGUUGUAAAGCUCUUUUACCCGGGAUGAUAAUGACAGUACCGGGAGAAUAAGCUACGGCUAACUCCGUG
rnacentral:rRNA from 1 species